rnacentral:rRNA from 1 species
AUCGCGAUGCAUCUAGAUUACUUUGAUCCUGGCUCAGAGCGAACGCUGGCGGCAGUGCUAUACUUGUAUCUUUGGGGGCAUCCUACCGCGCUGGUCUACCUUGGAGGAUCACGUGGGAACUUCCCCUUCGUUCGCUAUCACCCUGUGAAAGGCGGUGUGAUCCCGGACACGGAACUUCUUCACCAGAUUUUGCUGAUACGGAACGACUAGCGUUUCCGGCUUCUUGUGGGGGAGUUGCUGC